rnacentral:rRNA from 1 species
UACGUAGGGUGCGAGCGUUUGUUCGGAUUUACUGGGCGUACAGGGAGCGUAGGCGGUUGGAUAAGCCCUCCGUGAAAUCUCCAGGCUUAACCUGGAAAGUGCAGAGGGGACUGUUCAGCUAGAGGAUGGGAGAGGAGCGCGGAAUUCCCGGUGUAGCGGUGAAAUGCGUAGAGAUCGGGAGGAAGGCCGGUGGCGAAGGCGGCGCUCUGGAACAUUUCUGACGCUGAGGCUCGAAAGCGUGGGGGAGCAAACAGG